GGGGGGGGGGCGGGGUCCUUCAGCCCAGAUUGUGAGAGGGUGCAGGCCAGGCUGAGGGACCCCACUGGUGCAUG
rnacentral:pre_miRNA from 1 species